rnacentral:rRNA from 1 species
CCUACGGGAGGCUGCAGUGGGGAAUAUUGGGCAAUGGAGGCAACUCUGACCCAGCAACGCCGCGUGAAUGAUGAAGGUCUUCGGAUUGUAAAGUUCUUUUCUAAGGGAAGAAGAAAGUGACGGUACCUUAGGAAUAAGCCUCGGCUAACUACGUGCCAGCAGCCGCGGUAAUACGUAGGAGGCAAGCGUUAUCCGGAAUGACUGGGCGUAAAGGGUGCGUAGGUGGUUUGACAAGUUAGUAGCGCAACUCCGGAGCUCAACUUCGGAACUACUACUAAAACUGUUGGACUUGAGUGCAGGAGGGGCAAUCGGAAUUCCUAGUGUAGCGGUGGAAUGCGUAGAUAUUAGGAGGAACACCAGUGGCGAAGGCGGAUUGCUGGACUGUAACUGACACUGAGGCACGAAAGCGUGGGGAGCAAACAGGAUUAGAUACCCUGGUAGUC